rnacentral:rRNA from 1 species
GAUGAACGCUGGCGGCGUGCUUAACACAUGCAAGUCGAACGGAAAGGCCCAAGCUUGCUUGGGUACUCGAGUGGCGAACGGGUGAGUAACACGUGGGUGAUCUGCCCUGCACUUCGGGAUAAGCCUGGGAAACUGGGUCUAAUACCGGAUAGGACCACAUUUUGGAUGGUGUGGUGGAAAGUUUUUCGGUGUGGGAUGAGCUCGCGGCCUAUCAGCUUGUUGGUGGGGUAAUGGCCUACCAAGGCGUCGACGGGUAGCCGGCCUGAGAGGGUGUACGGCCACAUUGGGACUGAGAUACGGCCCAGACUCCUACGGGAGGCAGCAGUGGGGAAUAUUGCACAAUGGGCGCAAGCCUGAUGCAGCGACGCCGCGUGGGGGAUGACGGCCUUCGGGUUGUAAACUCCUUUCGCUAGGGACGAAGCGUUAUGUGACGGUACCUGGAUAAGAAGCACCGGCUAACUACGUG